GAUGAACGCUGGCGGCGUGCCUAACACAUGCAAGUCGAACGGAGAUUACGGACGGAAGUUUUCGGAUGGAAGACUGUAAUUCUUAGUGGCGGACGGGUGAGUAACGCGUGGGCAACCUGCCCUAUACAGGGGGAUAGCAGCUGGAAACGGCUGGUAAGACCGCAUAAGUCGGCGAGACCGCAUGGUUUUGCCGGGAAAUGAGCAAUCAGGUAUAGGAUGGGCCCGCGUCCGAUUAGCCAGUUGGCAGGGUAAAAGCCUACCAAAGCAACGAUCGGUAGCCGGACUGAGAGGUCGGACGGCCACAUUGGGACUGAGACACGGCCCAAACUCCUACGGGAGGCAGCAGUGGGGGAUAUUGCACAAUGGAGGAAACUCUGAUGCAGCGACGCCGCGUGAGUGAAGAAGUAUUUCGGUAUGUAAAGCUCUAUCAGCAGGGAAGAUGAUGACGGUACCUGACUAAGAAGCCCCGGCUAACUACGU
rnacentral:rRNA from 1 species